GGAAUAUUGGACAAUGGGCGCAAGCCUGAUCCAGCCAUGCCGCGUGAGUGAUGAAGGUCUUAUGAUUGUAAAGCUCUUUCACCGGGGAAGAUAAUGACGGUACCCGGAGAAGAAGCCCCGGCUAACUUCGUUCCAGCAGCCGCGGUAAUACGAAGGGGGCUAGCGUUGUUCGGAAUUACUGGGCGUAAAGCGCACGUAGGCGGAUAUUUAAGUCAGGGGGGAAAUCCCAGAGCUCAACUCUGGAACUGCCUUUGAUACUGGGUAUCUCGAGUAUGGAAGAGGUAAGUGGAAUUCCGAGUGUAGAGGUGAAAUUCGUAGAUAUUCGGAGGAACACCAGUGGCGAAGGCGGCUUACUGGUCCAUUACUGACGCUGAGGUGCGAAAGCGUGGGGAGCAAA
rnacentral:rRNA from 1 species